rnacentral:rRNA from 1 species
UACAGAGGGGGCAAGCGUUAUUCGGAAUUAUUGGGCGUAAAGGGCGCGUAGGCGGCCUGACAAGUGGAAGGUGAAAUCCCUCGGCUUAACCGAGGAACUGCCUUCCAAACUGUCGGGCUUGAGUCCGGGAGAGGCGAGUGGAAUUCCCAGUGUAGCGGUGAAAUGCGUAGAUAUUGGGAGGAACACCAGUGGCGAAGGCGGCUCGCUGGACCGGAACUGACGCUGAGGCGCGAAAGCGUGGGGAGCAAACAGG